GGACUACCGGGGUUUCUAAUCCUGUUUGCUCCCCACGCUUUCGCGCUUGAGUGUCAGGGACAGGCCAAGAAGCUGCCUUCGCCAUCGGUGUUCCUCUUGAGAUCUACGCAUUUUACCGCUACUCCAAGAAUUCCACUUCUCUCUCCUGCCCUCUAGCCCUACAGUUUUGACUGCCUGCUCACGGUUAAGCCGUGAAAUUUAACAAUCAACUUAUAGAGCCACCUACACGCUCUUUACGCCCAGUAAUUCCGAAUAACGCUUGCCCCCUUCGUCUUACCGCGGCUGCUGGCAC
rnacentral:rRNA from 1 species